GUUGGGCGGAGAUCGGUGUAUCUGCGCAUGUGCGGAUGUGCGGAUGUGAGUCAGUGUAAACUUAACUUAGUUUACUCUCAGCUGACAGCUCGACCGGUUCUGCACAGUCCAGACGCGGAAAAAUUCCACCAAGAUGGCCUCCACGUGGUGGGAGCGCCUCUCUGUGUCGGUGAAUAAUGGCACAACCCCUGUGGACAACGGCAGCUGUUUCAGUGCCACACAGAGCACCGUGCUGAAGGGGGUGAAUUUCGGAGGAGUGCCCAUCGUUCUGCUGAUCGACUUCAUACUCUUCGUGUUGCUGCUGAUAGUCUUCACUCUAAUCAGAAGGAGACUGUGGGAUCAUGGGAGACUCGCUCUUGUCGCAGAGACUGAAGGGUUCAGACAUGCUACUAAACGCCGUUACAACAGAAUGACGUCAUCCAUGUCCAUUGAGGAGCCCGAAUAUGAGAAGGGGUGCUGCUCCUGGAUCAACUUUAUUGUCAAUAUGGAUGAGACUUCGGUCCAGGAGAAAUGUGGGGUGGAUGCAGUACAUUAUCUGUCAUUUCAGAAGCACCUAGUCAUCAUGCUCUUGAUCAUCUGUGUGCUGUCCAUCGCCAUCAUCCUGCCGGUCAAUCUAUCCGGCAACCUGCUAGGCAAUGAUCCCUACAGUUUCGGGAGAACAACCAUAGGGAAUCUUAAGCAGGGUGAUACACUUCUUUGGCUGCACACAGUAUUUGCAGUUCUGUAUCUUAUGAUCACGGUGGGCCUGCUGAGACGACACACCUCUAAAAUGAAGGGAACCAAGAGAGACAUAGCCAGAAACACCCUGUUUGUGAGGUCUGUACCCACUGCUGCUAGUAGUGAGACUAUAAAAACUCACUUCAUGGAGGCGUACCCUAACUGUCAAGUGACUGAUGUUAACUUGUGUUAUGAUGUUGCCAAACUGAUUGAUAUAAACAGAAACAGAAAACGGGCAGAAAAAAACCUGCAGCAUUACAAUAAGAUAUUCCAGCGCCAUGGACGUCGUGAGCUCAUCAACCCGCGCCCAUGCAGCCACCUGUGCUGCUGCGGCUGCCGCUGUAAGGGCUGUGAAGAGGUUGAUGCUAUAGAGUUCUACAGCUCACUGGUGGCUGCUCUGCGUGAGGAAGAAGAUAAACUGAAGAAUAGUGAAGAACUGCAUCCUCUGGGCAUGGCAUUUGUCUCUCUGCAAAAUGAGUACAUGGCCAGUUAUAUUCUGAAAGAUUUCAAUGCCCUGAAGUGUGGAGGCGGGGCAAGGGGCGUGGUCGGAGAAGUAAUGGGCGGGGGAAUCAGGUGUGGGUGUGGCCGAGAGCCUCAGCCGUCCUCUAAGAGCACAGAACUUAGAGUGAACAAAUGGAAAGUGAAUUACGCUCCUCACCCGUAUAAUAUCUACUGGGAGAAUUUGUCAAUAAAUUGGUGGCGUUGGUGGCUACGCUUUACGCUGCUAAAUGUAGCCCUCUUUCUCCUCCUCUUCUUCCUCACAACGCCCUCCAUCAUCAUCACCACCAUGGACAAAUUUAAUGUCACCAAGCCCAUUUACUAUCUGAACAGUGCUGUUAUCAGUCAAUUCUUCCCCACUAUUCUGCUGUGGACCUUCUCGGCCCUGUUGCCCACCAUAGUAUAUUACUCUACACUGGGGGAGGCCCACUGGACCAGGUCCAGCGAAAAUAUGAGCAUGAUGUACAAGCUCUACAUCUUCCUGAUCUUCAUGGUGUUGAUUUUGCCCUCACUGGGCCUCACCAGUCUAGACUUGUUUUUCCGCCAGUUGUUUGAUACGCAUUCAGCGGUGAAGCUGAGGUUUGAGUGUGUGUUUUUACCUGAUCAGGGGGCGUUCUUUGUAAAUUACGUGAUCGCGGCGGCUCUGGUGGGCUCUGGCAUGGAGCUGCUGCGGUUGCCAGGGUUACUGCUCUACAUUGUGCGUCUGGCACUCGCAGGUUCGGCUGCUGAGAGGAAAUAUGUUAAACAGAAUCAGGCGUAUGAGUUUCAGUACGGAGCGAUGUACGGAUGGACUCUGUGUGUGUUCACGGUCAUUAUGGCGUACAGCAUCACCUGUCCUGUCAUCGUUCCCUUCGGUUUGCUGUACCUGCUGCUGAAACACCUGGUGGACAAACACAACCUGUACUUCGCGUACCUGCCCGCCCGCCUCGAUCGGCAGGUUCACCUGGGAGCUGUCAAUCAAGCGCUGGCUGCACCAAUCAUAUGCCUGAUGUGGCUUUAUUUCUUCUCUGUGCUCAGAACAGGCUUCAAGGCAGCUACGUCACUGUUCACUUUAGUGGUUCUCUGUGUGACCAUCUUUAUCUGUUUAAGUUACACCUUCUUUGGACACUUCAAAUACCUCAGCCCGCACAACUACAAUGUUAAGGAGGAAGAUAAAGACGCAGAUAAAGGUUCACAGAGCUCAACUGUAUCGGCAAGUUUCACAUUUUUACAUUACACACAUUUUUUUUUAAAUCCUGAUAGAUUUUGAGAUGACCAGAAUCUCUCUCUCUUUCUCUCUCUUUUUAGGUGUAUCUUCCUAAAGUUUUGAACCCAGAUGCAUCAUCUGAAUCUGAUGAAUGCAGCAUUCACCAUACAUACGGCACCACCGACAAAAGUCCGCCCUUCCUCAGCACCGAGGAAGAGUGUCCAGAUUCGGAUAUCUAAAAACAAUAAUCAGUCAACGUCGACCAAUCACAACUUGCAUUUCACCUCUGGAGGAAUUGGUUCCUGCUGUAUUGAGGUUGGAGAUGGUCUGCACUCUUUUCUGAUGCCGUGAUUGAAGCCUCUGACCUGAUGACCCAGAGUACGUAUGACUGAUCUCUGUGCCAGCCAACCACAAAGACCGACAGCACUGAUUUCCCCUGCUGAUCCCUCCCUUUUGUCUGCGGGGAUUAUUCCCAUGGCAAUGCCGGUGGUCUGUAAGGUACCGUUCUCAGAGCCGAGAGUAAUAGACCCUCGCCAAGCCCUGGGGGUAAACUUAUUCAACUUCACCCAGACACAACUUUUAAGGGAAAACUAAUAGCAAAGUUUUGUUUCCUUGCCAGAUGUCUCUUAAGGUUUGCAGAGUUUACUCAGGGAAGAAAUUGAGACACAGAGAAAUGAGUAAUGAAACUGAAGAAUUGGAGGGAAAAUUCCCAGAUUGGGACUUUUGUUCUGUUAUCUGGUCGUCAACAGAAUCUAACGGAGCAGGAAAUCUGCAGUCUGUAACUCUACAUCUCUCUUUAGCUUGAGGGGAAAUUCUGUCAUCGUUUACUCAGCCUCGUGUCGUUCGGUGCGACUUUCUUCUGUGAAAGAAACUGGAUGAGGAAAUUGUGUGGAACAUACUUAAAUUGAAAUUUUAUUUGAGCUUGAAUCAUAUUUCUGGUUAAUUAUACUGAAAUAUGUAUAAGUAUGGUAUCAGAAGACAUGCAGUGCACACGUACAGUAAUUCAUGUAAGUAUUGUUAUGCAUCUUGUGCAGCUUGACAGCCUCAUUCGUUUUCACUGUACUAAAAAGAGGGAUCUCAGUAUUCUGCAAAACAUACAGUUUUGUUCCAGAGAUGGAAGAAAUAGUUAAAGAGUAAGAAAGUAUCCAUAUACAAACAGAAAAGG